rnacentral:rRNA from 1 species
GACGAACGCUGGCGGCGUGCUUAACACAUGCAAGUCGAACGGAAAGGCCCUGCUUGCAGGCUGCUCGAGUGGCGAACGGGUGAGUAACACGUGGGUGAUCUGCCCCUUACUUUGGGAUAAGCCUGGGAAACUGGGUCUAAUACUGGAUAGGACCAUGCUGUAGGUGGUGUGGUGGAAAGAUUAGUUUAGGUAAGGGGUGAGCUCGCGGCCUAUCAGCGUGUUGGUGGGGUAUUGGCCUACCAAGGCGUCGACGGGUAGCCGGCCUGAGAGGGUGGGAGGCCACAUUGGGACUGUGGUACGGCGCAGAGGCCUAGGGGAGGAAGCAGAGGGGAAGAGUGCAAUAUGGGAGAAAGGCUGAUGCAGCGACGCCGCGUGGGGGAUGACGGCCUGCGGGUUGUAAGCUCCUAUCGGCCAUGACGAAGCCCUUGUGGUGACGGUAGUGGUAGAAGAAGCACCGGCUAACUACGUG